rnacentral:rRNA from 1 species
AGAGUUUGAUCAUGGCUCAGGACGAACGCUGGCGGCGUGCUUAACACAUGCAAGUCGAACGGAAAGGCCCUUCGGGGUACUCGAGUGGCGAACGGGUGAGUAACACGUGGGUGAUCUGCCCUGCACUCUGGGAUAAGCCUGGGAAACUGGGUCUAAUACCGGAUAGGACCGCAUGCUUCAUGGUGUGUGGUGCAAAGCUUUUGCGGUGUGGGAUGAGCCCGCGGCCUAUCAGCUUGUUGGUGGGGUAAUGGCCUACCAAGGCGACGACGGGUAGCCGGCCUGAGAGGGUGACCGGCCACACUGGGACUGAGAUACGGCCCAGACUCCUACGGGAGGCAGCAGUGGGGAAUAUUGCACAAUGGGCGCAAGCCUGAUGCAGCGACGCCGCGUGAGGGAUGACGGCCUUCGGGUUGUAAACCUCUUUCAGUAGGGACGAAGCGAAAGUGACGGUACCUACAGAAGAAGGACCGGCCAACUACGUGCCAGCAGCCGCGGUAAUACGUAGGGUCCGAGCGUUGUCCGGAAUUACUGGGCGUAAAGAGCUCGUAGGUGGUUUGUCGCGUUGUUCGUGAAAACUCACAGCUUAACUGUGGGCGUGCGGGCGAUACGGGCAGACUAGAGUACUGCAGGGGAGACUGGAAUUCCUGGUGUAGCGGUGGAAUGCGCAGAUAUCAGGAGGAACACCGGUGGCGAAGGCGGGUCUCUGGGCAGUAACUGGCGCUGAGGAGCGUAAGCGUGGGUAGCGAACAGGAUUAGAUACCCCGGUAGUCCAA